rnacentral:rRNA from 1 species
GACGAACGCUGGCGGCGUGCCUAAUACAUGCAAGUAGAACGCUGAAGGAGGAGCUUGCUCUUCUGGAUGAGUUGCGAACGGGUGAGUAACGCGUAGGUAACCUGCCUGGUAGCGGGGGAUAACUAUUGGAAACGAUAGCUAAUACCGCAUAAUAGUAGAUGUUGCAUGACAUUUACUUAAAAGGUGCAAUUGCAUCACUACCAGAUGGACCUGCGUUGUAUUAGCUAGUUGGUGGGGUAACGGCUCACCAAGGCGACGAUACAUAGCCGACCUGAGAGGGUGAUCGGCCACACUGGGACUGAGACACGGCCCAGACUCCUACGGGAGGCAGCAGUAGGGAAUCUUCGGCAAUGGACGAAAGUCUGACCGAGCAACGCCGCGUGAGUGAAGAAGGUUUUCGGAUCGUAAAGCUCUGUUGUAAGAGAAGAACGAGUGUGAGAGUGGAAAGUUCACACUGUGACGGUAUCUUACCAGAAAGGGACGGCUAACUACGUGCCAGCAGCCGCGGUAAUACGUAGGUCCCGAGCGUUGUCCGGAUUUAUUGGGCGUAAAGCGAGCGCAGGCGGUUAGAUAAGUCUGAAGUUAAAGGCUGUGGCUUAACCAUAGUACGCUUUGGAAACUGUUUAACUUGAGUGCAAGAGGGGAGAGUGGAAUUCCAUGUGUAGCGGUGAAAUGCGUAGAUAUAUGGAGGAACACCGGUGGCGAAAGCGGCUCUCUGGCUUGUAACUGACGCUGAGGCUCGAAAGCGUGGGGAGCAAACAGG